rnacentral:misc_RNA from 1 species
AACGCACAUUGCGCCCGCCAGCAUUCUGGCGGGCAUGCCUGUUCGAGCGUCAUUUCAACCCUCGCGGCCUUCCGGCAGCGGUGUUGGCCAACAGCUGCUGGGGAACUCCCCCGGCGGCUGCGGCCCAAAUACAGUGGCGGUCUCGCUGCACUUGCUCUGCGUAGUAGCACACCUCGCAUUGCAAAGUAGCGGGCCCACGCCGUAAAACCCCAACUUUUAGAGUUUGACCUCGGAUCAGGUAGGAAUACCCGCUGAACUUAA